UGAACUUAAGCAUAUCAAUAAGCGGAGGAAAAGAAACCAACAGGGAUUGCCCUAGUAACGGCGAGUGAAGCGGCAACAGCUCAAAUUUGAAAUCUGGCCUUCGGGUCCGAGUUGUAAUUUGUAGAGGAUGCUUUUGGCGCGGUGCCUUCCGAGUUCCCUGGAACGGGACGCCUUAGAGGGUGAGAGCCCCGUACGGUUGGACACCAAGCCUCUGUAAAGCUCCUUCGACGAGUCGAGUAGUUUGGGAAUGCUGCUCUAAAUGGGAGGUAAAUUUCUUCUAAAGCUAAAUAUUGGCCAGAGACCGAUAGCGCACAAGUAGAGUGAUCGAAAGAUGAAAAGCACUUUGAAAAGAGGGUUAAAUAGCACGUGAAAUUGUUGAAAGGGAAGCGUUUGCGACCAGACUUUUUCCUAGCGGAUCAUCCGGUGUUUUCACCGGUGCACUUUGCUAGGUUAAGGCCAGCAUCGGUUUCUGUAGGGGGAUAAAAGCUUGGGGAAUGUAGCUCCCUCGGGAGUGUUAUAGCCUCUUGCAUAAUACCCUUACGGGGACCGAGGACCGCGCUUUUGCAAGGAUGCUGGCGUAAUGGUUGUCAACGACCCGUCUUGAAACACGGACCAAGGAGUCGAACAUUUGUGCGAGUGUUUGGGUGUUAAACCCUCACGCGUAAUGAAAGUGAACGGAGGUGAGAGCCCUUACGGGUGCAUCAUCGACCGAUCCUGAUGUCUUCGGAUGGAUUUGAGUAAGAGCAUAACUGUUCGGACCCGAAAGAUGGUGAACUAUGCGUGGAUAGGGUGAAGCCAGAGGAAACUCUGGUGGAGGCUCGCAGCGGUUCUGACGUGCAAAUCGAUCCGUCAAAUCUGCGCAU
rnacentral:rRNA from 1 species